rnacentral:ncRNA from 1 species
UUAAUUACGAAGAACAAGACUAGUAACAAAUGGAAUUUAAAAGAGAGGCCUUUUUAUUGAGCUGAGAGAAAGGCUUAAGUGAAAUUUGUGAAUUUCAUCUUGGGAGUAGAAUCUAAUCAAUUCCGGUAUUUCACCGUUAUCGAAAACUUGAGUGUAGGCAGAUUCUGUCUAAAUAAGGGUGGUACCGCGAAGCUUCGUCCCUAGA